CCGUGCUAGAUGGGGAGGUAGCGGUGCCCUAUAACCUGCAAUCCGCUAUAGCAGGAUUGAAUUCCCGGCAUAGGCAUCUCUAUUGUGGGGGCUGCCCUUAAUAAGUGGUGUUGACGGUUGGGUCCUGCGCAACGGAAACUCAUGAACCUCGUCAGGUCCGGAAGGAAGCAGCGAUAAGUGAAACUUUUCGUGUGCCGCGGGGAAGCCUGUCCCGAGCUAACUGUUAAGGUAACGCUCAUGGUAGACUGCCAAAGCUGGGUGCACGG
rnacentral:SRP_RNA from 1 species